AAUUCUCAACUCCCUCCAGCUUUGUUGUUGGUGUGGGGCUUGGAUAUGGAGGUCUUUGCAGGCUUUCUCCCUUAUGGGGUGAGGUCAGCUCCUCUAAAAUGCAUUAGCGGAACCGUCUGCGAUCCGUCACAGGUGUGAUAAUUAUCUAUACCUCUGGAUUGCUCUCUGUUUGUUCAGCUUCCAAUCGUCCUCUUUGUAGGACAAUUUUCUGAAC
rnacentral:misc_RNA from 1 species